rnacentral:rRNA from 1 species
UACUCCUACGGGAGGCAGCAGUGGGGAAUAUUGCGCAAUGGGGGGAACCCUGACGCAGCCAUGCCGCGUGAAUGAAGCAGGCCUUCGGGUUGUAAAGUUCUUUCGGUAUUGAGGAAGGUUGAUGUGUUAAUAGCACAUCAAAUUGACGUUAAAUACAGAAGAAGCACCGGCUAACUCCGUGCCAGCAGCCGCGGUAAUACGGAGGGUGCGAGCGUUAAUCGGAAUAACUGGGCGUAAAGGGCACGCAGGCGGUUAUUUAAGUGAGGUGUGAAAGCCCCGGGCUUAACCUGGGAAUUGCAUUUCAGACUGGGUAACUAGAGUACUUUAGGGAGGGGUAGAAUUCCACGUGUAGCGGUGAAAUGCGUAGAGAUGUGGAGGAAUACCGAAGGCGAAGGCAGCCCCUUGGGAAUGUACUGACGCUCAUGUGCGAAAGCGUGGGGAGCAAACAGGAUUAGAUACCCUGGUAGUCCACGCUGUAAACGCUGUCGAUUUGGGGGUUGGGGUUUAACUCUGGCGCCCGUAGCUAACGUGAUAAAUCGACCGCCUGGGGAGUACGGCCGCAAGGUUAAAACUCAAAUGAAUUGACGGA